rnacentral:rRNA from 1 species
AACGAACGCUGGCGGCAGGCUUAACACAUGCAAGUCGAACGCACUCUUCGGAGUGAGUGGCAGACGGGUGAGUAACGCGUGGGAAUCUACCCAGCCCUUCGGAAUAGCUCCGGGAAACUGGAAUUAAUACCGAGUACGCCUACGGGGAAGAUUAUCGGGUUGGAUGAGCCGCGUUGGAUUAGCUAGUUGGUGGGGUAAGUGGCCUACCAAGGCGACGAUCCAUAGCUGGUCUGAGAGGAUGAUCAGCCACACUGGGACUGAGACACGG